GCCGGCGUGGCGGAAUGGCAGACGCAGUAGACUCAAAAUCUACCGCACGCAAGUGUGUGUGAGUUCAAGUCUCACCGCCGGCA
rnacentral:tRNA from 1 species